GUGGGAUCCAGGGACGAGCCUGGCCAGGAGAGCCCUGCGGCCUCCGUCCCCGGUCUUGCCUGGCGCGCGCCGUUAAACACAGAGCGGAGCAAAGACGGAAGGAAAUGGUAGCCGAGCACUGGGCGAGGGCAGAGGAUUGCCUGGGCUGCUAUUUUGAAAUGAGACAGAAGAGGAUCAAGGCCCAAUGCAGGAAGACCCCUUAGGAGGCUACUCCGUGAUCCAGGGCACCUAGAACAAAAUUGAACUUUUCUGACGUUAGGCUGUCUCCCCACAACUUGAUGAUGCCCUCAGGCUCUAGUGAGGCUCACCCACAAUUGUGGUACCCUAAGGAGGAGUGAGGAAUGUGCAGGCUAACUGUGAUACAUGUGCCUCUCCAAGAUUGUGUAGCUAUUUCUAUAUUGCUUAGGGAGAAGGAGCCGAGAUUAUUGCUUAAGGAGAAAGAGCUAAGGAAAUCUUACACAAUUGAUUGGAAGAUGCAUAAUGGCGGUGGUAAUCUUUCCGUGGUGACGCAAUUCAUACAGCUGCCUGUUCUCUCCCCACCACAGAAUAUCUGCACACAUGGUUUGUUCUGAUACAGGCAUAUCCAACCUCUUCAUUCCAAACUACUGUCUCCAAAAGAGAAUGUGGCAAGUGUGUGUAACUGAGUAGCACAUAGAAGGAAGAAGAAGGCAACCGUGGCUGAAAGCGACCCCACUCAAUCUCAUUCAUGCUACUGAAAUUCCCAAAAGAAGCACCACUGUGAUGGAGCCUAUUAUCCGGAUGUCAUUGGUUGGAUCCACCAUCAUCGAAUCACUCUCCUGGAACAAAAAAAAAAAAUCACUGAAAUGGGCUUCUGGCGACUAAGUAUCAAUGUACAAAUUUUACUUCCAACAUUAAACCAACUCUAGACAUCACUACAUAAUCAAAGCUUAUAGCCAUAAGUACAUGAAUUGGCUUACCUCCUCUUACUACUCCAUUUGUGCAAAUAGCAGACAUAGAAAUACCUGUGAGUGUUGUCACUACCACACUCAGGCCAAUGAUGAUGACUCCAAGACCUGAAAAAUCCCCCAAGAAAGGUGUUUGGCUCCAGUACUUCAAGAAGUCACCAGUACUUCAGGAGGCAGCAGUCUGAAUCUUGUCAAGGAAGGAACAGUCUCCCUAUGAAAAACCUGAAACGUUCUAAAAGAUCCCAUUCCAUCUAGGUCUAGGAAGGUCUAGGAAGCACCUGAAAUGUACUAAACUUUAAAACUGAAGCUGUGUCGAGAAGUCAUUUUCCAAGAAACACCAGCAAGAGGUGUGCAGUAGCCUGAAAAAUAAAGCAUUUACCCAAGGAAUUUGAGCAUCUGGAAAUCAUGACCUGCAACGUGCCAGAGAGGACCAUUAGAAAAGAGACCACAGCUGAGGAGAGUAGACCAGGACUAUACGCACAGUACCUUGUGUUUCCUUCUGUGUCCAGCUCAUCCACAUAGUUAGCCAGGCUUCAAGAACAUUGGGCUACUUUCUUGUUCCCACCAAAAAGAAGUAUAAUAAGUUUUUGCCUACCCGUAGCAAGUGAUGAGAGCAUUUAGAUAUCUUAGAAAUUUUACCUCCACGAACAAACCCGUUAGUUGCUAUUGCAGAAGUUGACAACCCAGUAAUAGAAGUUACCAUGGUGGAAAGAAGAAUUAUGAGAACUCCAAGACCUGUUAGCAAUGAAAGACAGAAGAUAUUACAUUUUACUUUUCUUCCUUGGAUUCCCUAUUGCUGCAAACUAUACUGCUUUGAAUUUAAGUGUUCACAUCCAAGCCUUGGGCCCCAAUGGAGUUCCUUCAUGCUAAGGAGAAACGGGUUUGCCUGGCGUAAAGACCAAGUUGGAGAACUGCUCAUUAUGAUGAAGGAUGGUUUCCAAAAGCAAACACAAUCUAAAAUGCAGCCCUGGAAAGGAAAAGUUGACUUACGCUGGUGUCCUGGGAGAGAAACUACCCUGGCUGCGAAAAGAGAAAACAUAACAUUUGACCUUCUCUCUUGCUGGAGAGGAACCUGAAUGAGAAAGCUGGGGGUUUGACAAAGGUUAAAUCCUUCUCCAUUUUUCUUGCAUCUCUUUUGCCUGGCAGGGGGGAUAAAAAAGGAACCAACUUGGAUUACCUUUGAAAACACUCCGGAAAGGGAUCCUGUGGUGAGGAUCGCCUCUACAUCACUACCUCACUGUGCAGUUUCAAGUCUGUGUGCCAGUAAAGAUUUGAUAUACGUUGCCUGAGAAUUGUUGGAUGUGCAAUAGUAUUGUACGGAAGGUAAGAAGUCUCCAUACUGACGACUAGAAAGGAAGUGAGCAGAUUGAGAGUAUGAUCAAUGAUUUAUUGAAAAUAUUUCUACUUAAUGGGAAAACUCUUUCAAGCAGAAAUCAAACUAUGGAAACUAUUCAAGUGAUUUCCAGUUGCCUGAGCAGCAGAGUUGUGGUGUAAUACAGAGAUGAGGAGCAAGUCUCUGGGGUCAGCAUGCUUGAUUCACAUCCUGGCCCUGCCACUUCCUAUCUAUGUGAACACUGGUAGUCAUAAAUGCUACGAAAGAAAGCAAGCAAGUUAAGAGGAAAGAGAAUGAUAAUGAAUAAAGGGCACUUCUUUAAUUAAAGAAAUCAGCAAAGGCUUCCCUAGGGAGAUGACAUUUGAGCUGAAGUCUGAAUGAUGUCAAGAAGAGAGCCGUGAAAAUAUCUGGAGGAAGAGCAUUGAAGUUUGAGGAAACAGUCAUUGCAAAGGCUUUGAGAAGCACUGGAAACCUGGUCUGAAAAUUCUCAAAAUGUCUCACUAGAGAAACCUGGACUGUCAUUAUCAUUCUGCCUUGUUUGUCUCCAGUUCUCUUUGGACAUAUUAAACUUAAGAAGCAUAGAAAUCACCUACCAAACAUUAUGGAAGAAACAUCAGCAAGCACACAACACAUCCACUUUUUUUUUUUUUCCUUUUGUCAGCAGCAUCAGCAGAAACAUUAGGGCUCUUUCUUCUUUAGAAUUUGAACUCAGCAGACCUACAGACUCCUUCCCCCUCUCCACCCUCCCCAUCUCCUUUCCUGCUCCCUAGCUUCAGAAAUACAAGAAAAGGAGACAUGCUUUUCAUCUGGACCUGCACUAGAAUCCUGUCAGUUAAUGCGAAGGGUAGGGGGAGAAAGUUACUCCGCAGGGAGAGACGUCUCACCUUCCAUG